AGUGGCGCACGGGUGCGUAACGCGUGGGAAUCUGCCCUUGGGUACGGAAUAACUCAGAGAAAUUUGUGCUAAUACCGUAUAAUGACUUCGGUCCAAAGAUUUAUCGCCCAAGGAUGAGCCCGCGUAAGAUUAGCUAGUUGGUGGGGUAAAAGCCUACCAAGGCGACGAUCUUUAGCUGGUCUGAGAGGAUGAUCAGCCACACUGGGACUGAGACACGGCCCAGACUCCUACGGGAGGCAGCAGUGGGGAAUAUUGGACAAUGGGCGAAAGCCUGAUCCAGCAAUGCCGCGUGAGUGAUGAAGGCCUUAGGGUUGUAAAGCUCUUUUACCCGGGAUGAUAAUGACAGUACCGGGAGAAUAAGCUCCGGCUAACUCCGUGCCAGCAGCCGCGGUAAUACGGAGGGAGCUAGCGUUGUUCGGAAUUACUGGGCGUAAAGCGCGCGUAGGCGGUUUUUUAAGUCAGAGGUGAAAGCCCAGUGCUCAACACUGGAACUGCCUUUGAAACUGGAAAACUUGAAUCUUGGAGAGGUCAGUGGAAUUCCGAGUGUAGAGGUGAAAUUCGUAGAUAUUCGGAAGAACACCAGUGGCGAAGGCGACUGACUGGACAAGUAUUG
rnacentral:rRNA from 1 species